UACGUAGGGGGGCUAGCGUUUGUCCGGAAUCAUUGGGCGUAAAGCGCGUGUAGGCGGUCCGGUAAGUCUGCUGUGAAAGUCGGGGGCUCAACCCUCGAAUGCCGGUGGAUACUGUCGGGCUAGAGUGCGGAAGAGGCGAGUGGAAUUCCUGGGUGUAGCGGUGAAAUGCGCAGAUAUCUGGAGGAACACCGGUGGCGAAGGCGGCAUCCUGGACCGGUAUUGACGCUGAGGCGGCGAAAGCUAGGGGAGCAAACGGG
rnacentral:rRNA from 1 species